rnacentral:rRNA from 1 species
UGUCCAGACUCCUACGGGAGGCAGCAGUGGGGAAUAUUGGGCAAUGGGCGCAAGCCUGACCCAGCAACGCCGCGUGAAGGAAGAAGGCUUUCGGGUUGUAAACUUCUUUUCUCAGGGACGAAGAAAGUGACGGUACCUGAGGAAUAAGCCACGGCUAACUACGUGCCAGCAGCCGCGGUAAUACGUAGGUGGCAAGCGUUAUCCGGAUUUACUGGGUGUAAAGGGAGCGUAGACGGCUGUGCAAGCCAGAUGUGAAAGCCCGGGGCUCAACCCCGGGACUGCAUUUGGAACUGUGUGGCUGGAGUGUCGGAGAGGCAGGCGGAAUUCCUAGUGUAGCGGUGAAAUGCGUAGAUAUUAGGAGGAACACCAGUGGCGAAGGCGACUUUCUGGACUGUACCUGACGCUGAGGCGCGAAAGCGUGGGUAGCGAACGGGAUUAGAUACCCCAGUA